rnacentral:rRNA from 1 species
GACAGAGGAGGCGAGCGUUAUCCGGAGUUAUUGGGCGUAAAGGGUACGUCGGCGGCUGGUCAAGUCUGGGGUUAAAGACCACAGCUUAACUGUGGGGGGGCCUUGGAAACUGACCGGCUGGAGUGGGGCAGGGGUUGCGGGAAUUCCCGGUGUAGCGGUGAAAUGCGUAGAUAUCGGGAAGAACACCUGAGGCGAAAGCGCGCAACUGGGCCCUGACUGACGCUGAGGUACGAAAGCUAGGGGAGCGAAGGGG